rnacentral:rRNA from 1 species
AUGCCUACGAGCUUUUCACAUAUUGUUCUUUGCUUAUUUACUUUACCGUUGCUGCUGUUACAAUUACUACAAAACGGUUACUGUUACUUUUGCCACUAUCAUCGUUACUUCCAUACUACUUUGCUACUAAAUACUUUGCCGCAGAUACUAAGUUAUCCAGGUGUGGUUGAAUUGACAACUCAAUUGCUAAUACUUUAUAAUAUUCUUUGGCUCCCCUUGUGUCGAAUCAAUAAAUUUGGGUUGAAUACUCUACCCUCGAAAACUGUUGUGAUCCCCUAUACUUGUGGGUUAUCAAGACUAUUUUCUGGCGCCGUUGCCGGGGAGCAUAGCUCUAUUCUUUGA